rnacentral:rRNA from 1 species
AUUACUGGGCGUAAAGCGCACGCAGGCGGUCUGUCAAGUCGGAUGUGAAAUCCCCGGGCUCAACCUGGGAACUGCAUUCGAAACUGGCAGGCUUGAGUCUUGUAGAGGGGGGUAGAAUUCCAGGUGUAGCGGUGAAAUGCGUAGAGAUCUGGAGGAAUACCGGUGGCGAAGGCGGCCCCCUGGACAAAGACUGACGCUCAGGUGCGAAAGCGUGGGGAGCAAACAGGAUUAGAUACCCUGGUAGUCCACGCCGUAAACGAUGUCUACUUGGAGGUUGUGCCCUUGAGGCGUGGCUUCCGGAGCUAACGCGUUAAGUAGACCGCCUGGGGAGUACGGCCGCAAGGUUAAAACUCAA